UGGUUCCGCAUCGACCAUAACACAACCCAAAUGAAACUAGGUGGAUGUCGUGUAGGUUGGCUAGGUAAUGACCCGCUGAAAAGUGGAUGAGUUGGUUUGGAUGGCAGGUGAAACACCAAACCCACCGAUCACGACGACUAUUUCCUCCUUGAUGUUCAUAUAUAAUAAUGUCUCUGUCAUUUUGAUCCAUUAUAUAUAAUACGUAUCCUUCCUUCCUGGAUCAGUAAGAAGACUCUUCUGCAGUUUCCUUCUCUCCAUAACUCCGAUCCCAUGUAUUCAAUUCUAAGCCCACAAAAUCAGAAAUCAGGAGACAUUGCUAAUACAGAUAAAUAAUCAAGUCCAUUUCAAAUAUAAUUAGCAAACAAAAGAAUGAAAAAAGAGAUUAAGGUAACCACAUACUAUGUUCUAACUUUGAGUUUGCUGUUAGCUUCUGCUUGAUCGAUCUCAAAUAUGAUCUUUGUUCUUGUUAACCAAUCUAGCUAAGCUUUUUAUAGCUUUCUUUAUCUCCAUUCGCAAUGCUGUACUCCUGCUCAAGCUUUUUUCUGUUGAGUUUUGUUAUAGGUCAGAUCUCCAACGGUGUGAUUGGUAACGUGGAGGUCUUGGAUUUGAAUUCAGUCACACCCUAAAAUGGAAUUUCAUGCAUGCAAUAUUAAAUUCCUUCUCUCUGUGUUGAGUGAGUCUAUCGGCCUUGUGCCUCCUUAGAUUCUCUCGUGGUGGCUUGUCCCGAUCAAUAUGCCCCAUUACGGCCAUGUUGGCUUUCAAAGAGGUUUAGUUGGCACUUUGGAUAUUCAUAAGACGUGAAGCUAGUGCUUUAUGCGCUAUUAUGUCAGAGCAUUCAAUCGGUG
rnacentral:lncRNA from 1 species